CCCGAGUUGUAAUUUGUAGAGGAUGCUUUUGGUGCGGUGCCUUCCGAGUUCCCUGGAACGGGACGCCAUAGAGGGUGAGAGCCCCGUCUGGUUGGAUGCCAAUCCUCUGUAAAGCUCCUUCGACGAGUCGAGUAGUUUGGGAAUGCUGCUCUAAAUGGGAGGUAUAUGUCUUCUAAAGCUAAAUACCGGCCAGAGACCGAUAGCGCACAAGUAGAGUGAUCGAAAGAUGAAAAGAACUUUGAAAAGAGAGUUAAAAAGUACGUGAAAUUGUUGAAAGGGAAGCGCUUGUGACCAGACUUGGGCUUGGUUGAUCAUCCAGGGUUCUCCCUGGUGCACUCUUCCGGCUCAGGCCAGCAUCAGUUUGCCUCGGGGGAUAAAGGCUUCGGGAAUGUGGCUCUCUCCGGGGAGUGUUAUAGCCCGCUGCGUAAUACCCUGUGGCG
rnacentral:rRNA from 1 species